AGGUGAGCCUUGCCCAGUGACGGCGAGGCGGCCAUCGCCAGAUCUAGCGACGGCCACCUCGCCGGCCACUGGCUAGGGCAAGGGU
rnacentral:pre_miRNA from 1 species